UCCGCCCCGUACUUCCGGCGCCCCGCCACUUCCGGUAGGCGCGGGGCGGGCUGGAGGGUCCCCUCCGGCUCCCGGCCCGCGCGGGACGGCGUCCGACCCGAGCCCGGGAGGGACCCUGGGGCAGGGCGACCCUGAGCCGCGCGUCCCGCCGCCAUGGAGGACGACCCCGGCGAGGCGCUGUCGGAGCUGCGCGAGCGGCGGCUGAGCGCGCUGGAGCUGCUGCAGGCGGCGGCGGGCUCGGGCCUGGCGGCCUACGUCGCGUGGGCGCUGCUGCUGCAGCCUGGCUUCCGCCGCGUGCCGCUGCGGCUGCAGGUGCCCUAUGUCGGUGCGAGUGAGCGGCAGGUGGAGCACGUGUUGUCGCUACUGCGAGGCCGCCCUGGAAAGAUGGUGGACCUGGGCUCUGGCGACGGCAGGAUUGUGCUGGCUGCCCACAAGUGCGGCCUCCAGCCAGCUGUGGGUUACGAGCUGAACCCGUGGCUAGUGGGGCUGGCCCGGCUGCAUGCAUGGAGGGCAGGCUGUGCCGGCAGCGUCUGCUACCGCCGUGAGGACCUCUGGAAGGUAACCCAGGGAGUCCCGGGGCUCCUGGGGUCCCCACACCUGAUCUCCACACGUCCAGCUGUCGGUUGGCCACCCCACCGACAACCCCAGGUUCCCCUGCCUGCACCUGCGUGGUCUGGGGCCAGGACUUGGGAGCCACAGUGACCCCAUGCUCACCAGACCUCCUCCUCGGCUGGGGCCCUGCUCCCUGCUGGGGUGACUGUUCUUGCAGCUCCCACUCCUGGAAGACAAGCUGCGGGCAGAGUUGCCCGCAGGGGCCCGAGUGGUGUCGGGGCGCUUCCCCCUCCCCACCUGGCCGCCUG